rnacentral:lncRNA from 1 species
UUGGAAGGGAAAUUCGUCCGGAAAUUUAAGGGCAUUUUGGUCUUUUCACAAAUCAUUUCUUUUGAGCUCAUAUUGUUGUAUUAGGCUGAUCUUUGGAUCAUUUUGUCCCAUUUUGAAAGAGAAAGAGUUAGGGUUCUUGAGGGUGAAGAAGAGAAGAAGGAGAAGAAGAAGAAGAGAAGAAAGAGGAGAUCAACAAGAUCAUUGUGGAUUUUCGUCGGGGGUGAUCCCUAUCAAGGUAUGUGAGUUUUUGUGUGGGUUGAUCCUUUCCCUCACACACACUAAGCUUAUUCUAUGAUUUGAGAAAAGAUUGGAAUUUGUUGUUGAAGUUGUUGACGUUGUUAGUUGUUGAUGUUGUUGGUGGUGUAGUUGAAGUUAUUGUUCGUUGUGAGUACAUGAUUGGGUUGUGUAUUUAAGUUGAAAACUAUUGUAUGUUGAGGGAAUUUUGAUUCUAAGAGUUAUGACCCUUUUGAAGUUGAUUCACCAUCAAUUCGCAACAAAUUUUGGGCUAUCGAUCCCCAUCUACGAGCGUGACCUACGGACCGUAGAUCGAUUGACGGUCCGUACUGGUCAACCGUCAAUCGGGACAGAAGUUGGGUUUUUGGGCAUCGAUCUACGGGCACGACCUACGGUCCGUAACCUGACCUACGGACCGUAAGUCCGGACCGUAGGUCAACACUUAGUCUUUUUUUUUAACUGAAUUCUGGGGAAGUCUCUGACGCGAUCUACGGACCUGCAGGACGGACCGUAAGUCCAUCUACGGUCCGUCGAUGGCGUCCGUAAGUGCCAUCUGUGUCACCAGAAAUCUGAAGUCUCAGCCAAGUUUCCCCAUUUCUUUUCUUACUUUCUCAUGCAUGUUCCAAAGUAUUAUACCUAUGUUUUACAGUUGUUUCCGACACUCCAAAGUACGUCUAAGCGUUCAAGAAUCCCUCCAUAACAUGUGAUCGAACACCUUGAAUUCAUAAUUCCGAUUCAAGGAAAGAUAGUUCCAAGUCAAGUGAAGUUAGAAGUCAAGAAAAAGAGUACAGAGUUUCAAGCUAAGUAAGAGUCUCAGUUUCAAGUUAAGUUAUGAGUUUAAAGUUGAGUUCGUUUCACCAAGUUAUUAGGGAACUAUGUAUUCCCAAAGGAGUUUUAAAGAAAUGUCUUUACAUUUAAACAAGGUUGGAAACUGAGAUUUCCAAAGGGGCCUUCGGGCUAGUUUUUGAGUAAUUAUCUCAUAUCAGCAGGAAUAAAUAUGUUUUAAAACAUAAGAGCCAGUACAUUUUUGGGAGUAGUAUCGAGCACUGAAUUGGGGGGAGCGUUCAAAGAACCCACAGCCCCCAUAGAACCAUGUUAGCCACCAUGGGUAGAAAAGGAUCAUACUUUUUAGAUGAAUCAUUUUCAUAUUAGACUAGUGGAUCCAUUAGGCAGUUCAGGUCUUACACCUUUGGCCGGGUAUAGGAUGCUCUGGCAGCGUGAGGUCGAUCGCUGUAUCAUCACUAUAGCUCUUAUGUGAUGGUUGUCGGUUAGAGAAACUCCCACAGCAGUUAUUGUGUUUUCAUACAUAGAGAUUAUUGUAUUUUAUAUACAUCAGUUCAUUGUAUUUCUAUAUACAUUUCAGCUUAUUGUAUCUUUGUAUACACACAGAGUUUAUAGCAUGUUUUAAACAGUCUUUCUUUAUAUCGCACUUGUUUUAAAUUGCCUUAUAUUGAAAGAAGUCAGUCAGGUUGAGUUGAGUUGAGCCAGGUAAGCUAUUCAGUUUCUUCCAGUUUUCCUUCUAGCCUUUGUUGCUUAGUUUUCCAGCUUGCAUACUCGUACAUUCCAUGUACUGAUGCCAGUUGGCCUGCAUCGUUUGAUGAUGCAGAUUCAGGUACCCCGGAUCAGCAUCCUGCACGUCGUUGAUCCAGCUGAACACUCCAGAGUCAGUGGUGAGCCUCCUUGCAUUCCGGAGGACUCAAUUUUUUGUGUUCUUAGUUUUUGGUUUUAUUAGGAUGUU